rnacentral:rRNA from 1 species
CGUGCACAGGUGCUGCAUGGCUGUCGUCAGCUCGUGCCGUGAGGUGUUGGGUUAAGUCCCGCAACGAGCGCAACCCUCGUCGCUAGUUACAUGUGUCUAGCGAGACUGCCAGGUUAACCCUGGAGGAAGGUGGGGAUGACGUCAAGUCAGCCAUGGCCUUUAUGUCCAGGGCUACACACACGCUACAAUGGUCGGUACAAUGGGAUGCCAAGCCGCGAGGCGGAGCAAAUCCUCAAAGCCGGCCUCAGUUCGGAUUGGAGGCUGCAACUCGCCUCCAUGAAGUCGGAGGUUGCUAGUAAUCGCGGAUCAGCUACGCCGCGGUGAAUACGUUCCCGGGCCUU